UGAGUACGAGCUGCUACGGCAGCGAAGUGGAUGAUGUCAAGCUUCCAAGAAAAGCCCUAUACCCGUUAAGGCAUGACGGCCUGUACCCGAAACCGACACAGGUGGGGUGGUAGAGAAUACCGAGGGGCGCGAGAUAACUCUCUCUAAGGAACUCGGCAAAAUGGCCCCGUAACUUCGGGAGAAGGGGUGCCACCGCGAGGUGGUCGCAGUGAAGAGGCCCAGGCGACUGUUUACCAAAAACACAGGUCUCCGCUAAGUCGCAAGACGAUGUAUGGGGGCUGACGCCUGCCCAGUGCCGGAAGGUUAAGGAAGCCGGUCAGCGUAAGCGAAGCUGGCGACUGAAGCCCCGGUGAACGGCGGCCGUAACUAUAACGGUCCUAAGGUAGCGAAAUUCCUUGUCGGGUAAGUUCCGACCCGCACGAAAGGCGUAACGAUCUGGGCGCUGUCUCGGAGAGAGGCUCGGCGAAAUAGAAUUGUCUGUGAAGAUGCGGACUACGUGCACCCGGACAGAAAGACCCUAUGAAGCUUUACUGUAGCUUGGUAUUUGCUCGGGCUCUGAAUGCGCAGGAUAGGUGGGAGGCUUUGAUCCAUUGCUUGUGGGUGAUGGUGAGCCACUGGUGAGAUACCACUCUUUCAGAGCUAGGGUUCUAACGGUCACCCGUUAUCCGGGGACCGGACAGUAUCAGGUGGGCAGUUUGACUGGGGCGGUCGCCUCCUAAAAGGUAACGGAGGCGCGCAAAGGUUCCCUCAUGCUGGUUGGAAAUCAGCCGACGAGUGCAAAGGCAGAAGGGAGCUUGACUGUGAGACCAACAAGUCGAACAGGGACGAAAGUCGGCCUUAGUGAUCCGACGGUUCUGAGUGGAAGGGCCGUCGCUCAACGGAUAAAAGUUACUCUAGGGAUAACAGGCUGAUCUCCCCCAAGAGUUCACAUCGACGGGGAGGUUUGGCACCUCGAUGUCGGCUCAUCGCAACCUGGGGCUGAAGUCGGUCCCAAGGGUUGGGCUGUUCGCCCAUUAAAGCGGUACGCGAGCUGGGUUCAGAACUUCGUGAGACAGUUCGGUCCAUAUCCGGUGCAUGCGCAGGAACAUUGAGAGGAUUUCUCCCUAGUACGAGAGGACCGGGAGGAACGCACCUCUGGUGUACCAGUUAUCGUGCCAACGGUAAACGCUGGGUAGCCAUGUGCGGAGCGGAUAAUCGCUGAAAGCAUC
rnacentral:rRNA from 1 species